GGGGUCAGGGACUGGGCCAAGCUCAGAAGCGGGGAGAAGAGCGAGACAGAGAUGCUCUGAGCAGGGGAGACAGGGAUCCCGGGCUGCUGCCGCUACCAACAAGGGUACACACUGCGGUCCUCAAGGCCAGGAGGGGGGUGGGGGCAGGGAAUGCCUCAGCCAACAGGGCAGCGGCUCGGCCCUGCUGCUGGCCCGGUGGGAAGUAGCCUGGGGCCCCGCGACUGAAAUCCGAGCCAGGCCUGGGCAGUCUCCGCUAGAAACGCUCUGGGCGCGCACUCCUGGAGACGCGGAGGCCCGGGCGCUCCAGACCAGUGUCCUUGUAGGAGGCUUCUUCACGAAGCUUAGAGUUUGGCCUUUCAUAGGGAAAGACUUGCUCGGGAGCAAGUCUAAGGGAUUUUAAGGGAUUUUAAAUCUUCCUGGGCCAGGGCUAGGGAGCUCUAGUGACAGUGUCUUGGUCUGGAAUCCAACUCUCCAAUUUUGAGGCCGCAGGGAGGAAUUCUGAGACUUUAGAGGCCGCACAGCCUUCAGCGCGCUCACCGCGUCCAGGCGUCAGUGAGGGGCUAUCUCGAGGCGCGAGUGCACAAAAGGUAGCGCGAGUCUCUUCUCAGGCGAUCCAGAUAAGAGGAAAUGAGAGCCGGGUUUUCUGACUUCCAACUCAUUAGGGACCAGGUUCUUUUUCUUCAGGAUCAGGCACAGAGACUGACUGAAUGGCUCCAAUUAUCAGGAUUUGAAAACCCAGUAUCAGAAUCUACCACUUUGUAUGUUAAUUAUUCAUACUGCAUGACUGAGGAUUUUGGAGGCAGAGAGAGAUUCAUCUGCAAUAUUUGGAACACCAAUGGAGGUCUACGUCAACACAGAAUUUAUACAGCAGCUGGUGCUAGUCAGAGCUAAUGACAGAAUUUCAGUUUAAUAAAAAGACCCCCAACUGAGCACACCAUCUUGAAAAAAGUAUACUUAUCAAACAGCUUUCAAUCAGUUCAAGAGAGACACCUUAAUUGGGGAGAGGAAGAAUUGCAGAGUAGUUUGUAAUCAUGCCAAUUCCAGAUCAAUAACUGCAUGUCUGUUCUUUGGUAGAAAUAGCUUUUGCUUUAUAUUAAGUAAUCACAUAUAUAUUCUCUCUAUUUGGAUAAGGAAACCUUCGCUUUAUUUGACAAUGUAUAAUGAUAUACUCUUCUAAUUCACCUCUGUGUCUUCACAAUAAACAUGAGUAAAAUUUAG
rnacentral:lncRNA from 1 species